CCUACGGGUGGCAGCAGUGGGGAAUAUUGCACAAUGGGCGAAAGCCUGAUGCAGCAACGCCGCGUGAGCGAUGAAGGCCUUCGGGUCGUAAAGCUCUGUCCUCAAGGAAGAUAAUGACGGUACUUGAGCAUUCAGCCCCGGCUAACUCCGUGCCAGCAGCCGCGGUCAUACGUAGGGGGCUAGCGUUAUCCGGAAUUACUGGGCGAAAAGGGUGCGUAGGUGGUUUCUUAAGUCAGAGGUGAAAGGCUACGGCUAAACCGUAGUAAGCCUUUGAAACUGGGAAACUUGAGUGCAGGAGAGGAGAGUGGAAUUCCUAGUGUAGCGGUGAAAUGCGUAGAUAUUAGGAGGAACACCAGUUGCGAAGGCGGCUCGCUGGACUGUAACUGACACUGAGGCACGAAAGCGUGGGGAGCAAACAGGAUUAGAUACCCCAGUAGUC
rnacentral:rRNA from 1 species